GCUGAAAUCAAGUGGGAUAACCCGCUGAAAUCAAACAU
rnacentral:rRNA from 1 species